CUGUCUCUUGUAGUUCCCCUGAACGCUUCAUAUGAGAUUAUAUAUUUUCUUUAAUGAAGUGUUUGGGGGAACUCCUGGAUUCAA
rfam:Cajanus cajan CcLG06_516, whole genome shotgun sequence.